AGCGAACGCUGGCGGCAGGCCUAAUACAUGCAAGUCGAACGGCUCUUCGGAGCAGUGGCGGACGGGUGAGUAACGCGUGGGAAUGUGCCCUUUGGUACGGAACAACACAGGGAAACUUGUGCUAAUACCGUAUGUGCCCUUCGGGGGAAAGAUUUAUCGCCCAAGGAUGAGCCCGCGUAGGAUUAGCUAGUUGGUGGGGUAAAGGCCCACCAAGGCGACGAUCCUUAGCUGGUCUGAGAGGAUGAUCCGCCACACUGGGACUGAGACACGGCCCAGACUCCUACGGGAGGCAGCAGUAGGGAAUAUUGGACAAUGGGCGAAAGCCUGAUCCAGCAAUGCCGCGUGAGUGAUGAAGGCCUUAGGGUUGUAAAGCUCUUUUAUCCGGGACGAUAAUGACGGUACCGGAGGAAUAAGCCCCGGCUAACUUCGUGCCAGCCGCCGCCGUAAUAC
rnacentral:rRNA from 1 species